GCGGGAAGGAAACUCAAGGGUCGCCUGAACCAAUUUAGCCAGCCCAUAAUCCCGAAUUCAGGAAUGUGUCACGUCACUUGAGAUCAGAACGAAAUUAAGUUUUGAUCCCUUUGAGAUCUCUUAGCGCACAAAGUCAGGCUAUCACUACAAGGGGAGUCCGACCCUGGCUGUAGAAAAACUACUUGGUGCGGAACUCGAGUCUCUUCCGCCCACCGUGGGGGACCGCAUCGGUCAGGUCCAGCGAGGAGCCCCGCCGUGAGUUUGGGGGCGCAGCCGGGCCCGGCGGGGGCGGCGAGCGCGCGUCCCCCCGCCCGCUCAGGCAGCGUCGAGGCGCGAGCAGCUCAGCCAGCCUUGCAGAGGGAGCUCUCGGCAGCUCUGGGGUCCCUCUGCUCGCAGCCGCAGCAGCGCCGCCUGCGCCACUCGGCGGAGACGGAGACCAGCGGCGGCGGCGCACAGACUGGGAGCGACCGCUGAGCAGCCGACCGGCAGGGGUAUGCUCGCAAAGCGGCCGGGAAGCACCUGCGGAUUCUACCCAACCAGCGGUGAAGUUCACCGACCACAGACUGGAAGACGUUCUGGUGACCCAGAGAGGAGAGCCUUUGGUACUUAGGGGAAUCUGACUCGGGACUGUAUUGUGAACUCCCGUACCUUAGAUGUCACGGACAACAAACGGACCCAGCAUCAAGGAGACAGUUUUUGCUCCAUUCAGCUGAUGGUUCUAUUAUGAGGAUGCCAGUCCAAUAUUGACAUUUUCUCGG